GACGAACGCUGGCGGCGUGCUUAACACAUGCAAGUCGAACGGAAAGGCCCUGCUUUUGUGGGGUGCCCGAGUGGCGAACGGGUGAGUAACAAGUGAGUAACCUUCCCUUGACUUUGGGAUAACUUCAGGAAACUGGGGCUAAUACCGGAUAGGAGCUCCUGCUGCAUGGUGGGGGUUGGAAAGUUUCGGCGGUUGGGGAUGGACUCGCGGCUUAUCAGCUUGUUGGUGGGGUAGUGGCUUACCAAGGCUUUGACGGGUAGCCGGCCUGAGAGGGUGACCGGCCACAUUGGGACUGAGAUACGGCCCAGACUCCUACGGGAGGCAGCAGUGGGGAAUAUUGCACAAUGGGCGGAAGCCUGAUGCAGCAACGCCGCGUGCGGGAUGACGGCCUUCGGGUUGUAAACCGCUUUCGCCUGUGACGAAGCGUGAGUGACGGUAAUGGGUAAAGAAGCACCGGCUAACUACGUG
rnacentral:rRNA from 1 species